rnacentral:rRNA from 1 species
GACGAACGCUGGCGGCGUGCUUAACACAUGCAAGUCGAACGGAAAGGCCCAGCUUGCUGGGUACUCGAGUGGCGAACGGGUGAGUAACACGUGGGUGAUCUGCCCUGAACUUCGGGAUAAGCCUGGGAAACUGGGUCUAAUACCGGAUAUGACCAUUGGUUGCAUGACUUUUGGUGGAAAGCUUUUGCGGUUCAGGAUGGGCCCGCGGCCUAUCAGCUUGUUGGUGAGGUAACGGCUCACCAAGGCGACGACGGGUAGCCGACCUGAGAGGGUGAUCGGCCACACUGGGACUGAGACACGGCCCAGACUCCUACGGGAGGCAGCAGUGGGGAAUAUUGCACAAUGGGCGCAAGCCUGAUGCAGCGACGCCGCGUGGGGGAUGACGGCCUUCGGGUUGUAAACCUCUUUCGGCAGGGACGAAGCGCAAGUGACGGUACCUGCAGAAGAAGCACCGGCCAACUACGUGCCAGCCGCCGCAGUAAAAC